CUUGCUAGGUGGAUUAGUGGCGCACGGGUGAGUAAUAUAUAGAUAACGUGCCUCUUAGUCUGGGAUAGCCAUUGGAAACGAUGAUUAAUACUAGAUACUCCUUCUAACUCUAAUGUUAGUUGGGAAAGUUUUUCGCUAAGAGAUCGGUCUAUAUCCCAUCAGCUAGUUGGUAGUGUAAGAGACUACCAAGGCAAUGACGGGUAGCGGGUUUGAGAGGAUGAUCCGCCACACUGGUACUGAGACACGGACCAGACUCCUACGGGAGGCAGCAGUGAGGAAUAUUGCACAAUGGAGGAAACUCUGAUGCAGCAACGCCGCGUGGAGGAUGACGCAUUUCGGUGUGUAAACUCCUUUUAUAUGUCAAGAAAAUGACGGUAGCAUAUGAAUAAGCACCGGCUAACUCCGUGCCAGCAGCCGCGGUAAUACGGAGGGUGCAAGCGUUAUUCGGAAUCACUGGGCGUAAAGGACGCGUAGGCGGGAUGCCAAGUCUGAUGU
rnacentral:rRNA from 1 species